rnacentral:rRNA from 1 species
AAUUAGACAGAGCCGGGCAAUCUGGUGCCAGCCGCCGCGGUUACACCCACUGUGGCUCAAAUUGACUUCUUUCGGCGUAAAGCGUGCUUAAAGCCUAAAAUUUCUUGGAAUUAAACUGAAACUAAGCCGUGACACGCUUGUUACUCAAGAAAACCAAAAACGAAAGUUAUUCCAAUUUUCUCAACUUGAAUUCACGAUAACUAGGAAACAAACUGGGAUUAGAUACCCCACUAUGCCUAGUCGUAAACUUUAACUUACCCCUCCAUCGCCCGGGAACUACGAGCUAAGCUUAAAACCCAAAGGACUUGACGGUACCCCAUAUCCCCCUAGAGGAGCCUGUCCUAUAAUCGAUAACCCCCGUUUAACCUCACCAUUUUUUGCCAAUCAGCCUGUAUACCUCCGUCGUCAGCUUACCACGUGAGCGUCAGUGAGCCUAAUGUUUUUCCAACUAUACGUCAGGUCAAGGUGCAACAUAUAAAAUGGGAGAAGAUGGGCUACACUUUCU